GACGAACGCUGGCGGCGUGCUUAACACAUGCAAGUCGAACGGAAAGGCCCUGCUUUUGUGGGGUGCUCGAGUGGCGAACGGGUGAGUAACACGUGAGUAACCUGCCCUUGACUUUGGGAUAACUUCAGGAAACUGGGGCUAAUACCGGAUAGGAGCUCCUGCUGCAUGGUGGGGGUUGGAAAGUUUCGGCGGGUGGGGAUGGACUCGCGGCUUAUCAGCUUGUUGGUGGGGUAGUGGCUUACCAAGGCUUUGACGGGUAGCCGGCCUGAGAGGGUGAACGGCGACAUUGGGACUGAGAGACGGCCCAGACUCCUACGGGAGGCAGCAGUGGGGAAUAUUGCACAAUGGGCGGAAGCCUGAUGCAGCAACGCCGCGGGCGGGAUGACGGCCUUCGGGUUGUAAACCGCUUUCGCCUGUGACGAAGCGUGAGUGACGGUAAUGGGUAAAGAAGCACCGGCUAACUACGUG
rnacentral:rRNA from 1 species